UGUGCUGGAGCACAGAGGUCUUCGGUCGGGCUGCGGAAAGGUGUUAGGCUUGUUCUAGGUUUACGUUGUAUCUUGUGUUUUGCUUUGUAAGUGUUCGGCCGUCUAUUUUAUUGUAUUUCUUUAUAUAUAUACAAAGUGGGGUGAAUGACUGUUUCAAGAAAUAAAAAUCAGGAAAGACACCCAUGAGAGUCUGAGAUUGCGGUGUGCAGGUCUAGCUAGACUAUAUCUAGUGUGGCAUGCAUUUCUGAAAAGCUACACAUCUCCUUUAGUUCCCCCUAAGGAAGUGUUAUCCCGUUGUCCUUGUGUCCAUGUCCUUUGCUCUUUGCUUUACUCACUUUAUUGCAAGAGAAGCAGCGCGCACGCAGCAGACGGGAGAGCAAGCUAGGCAAGCUAGCAAUGGAGUCGUUGUGGAGAGAGAGAGCAACAUCCCUGCCUCCCCUCCCUCUAUAAAUCCAGCCUCACCUCCUUGCUCCUACCACCAUCCUUCACACUAGUGCACUGUUCUCCACUCACUCAUUCGAUUAACCUAGCUUUCUCUUUCUCUCUCUAGUAGCCGUGGUUGCCUCCUUGUGUUUGCUCCAUGCGCCUUGAGCAUACCCAUCAAGAUCCAGGUCCGUGGAAUGUGUUUUAUUCAUCUUCACACCUUCUCCUCUCUUCGAAGAAACCAGGGACGAUAUUAUGCAACUCUAUGAACAUAUGUUGUUUAUUUGGGGAUCACAUUUAGCACAUUACUCAUGUGUGAAAUGUUACCAUCUUUUUUUGCCACUUCUUGAUGCAAAUGCGAUGAUUUAUUAAGAGCUAAUAUCACCAGAAGUCAUAGAACUUGCGUUCGAUGUUCAGUUUAGUGCUAAAACUUUAAAAAUAUAGAAUUAUGGUCACUCAA